rnacentral:RNase_P_RNA from 1 species
GAAGCGCGCCAGACCGCCGCUGGUGCAAGUUGGGAAACCAAGCACUGGAGGAACGUCCGGACUGCACAGGACAGCGUAGCAGCUAACGGCUGCCCACCGUGAGGUGAGGAUUAGAGCAACAGAGACGAGCCGAUUAAGUUCGGGUGAAACGGGCAAUCUCUACGCGCAGCAAUACCAAGUAGGCCAACGUUGAUGUGGUUCCGCAGAGUUGGCGGGUAGGUAGCAUUGAGCCGUGGUGGCGACACCCGGCCCAGAUUAAUGGCGGUCACAUUCGGGCAACCGAAUGCACAGAAUCCGGCUUAUCGGCGCGCUUCACAC